rnacentral:rRNA from 1 species
UGGGGAAUAUUGGACAAUGGGCGCAAGCCUGAUCCAGCCAUGCCGCGUGAGUGAUGAAGGCCCUAGGGUUGUAAAGCUCUUUUGUGCGGGGAGAUAAUGACUGUACCGCAAGAAUAAGCCCCGGCUAACUUCGUGCCAGCAGCCGCGGUAAUACGAAGGGGGCUAGCGUUGCUCGGAAUCACUGGGCGUAAAGGGUGCGUAGGCGGGUCUUUAAGUCAGGGGUGAAAUCCUGGAGCUCAACUCCAGAACUGCCUUUGAUACUGAGGAUCUUGAGUUCGGGAGAGGUGAGUGGAACUGCGAGUGUAGAGGUGAAAUUCGUAGAUAUUCGCAAGAACACCAGUGGCGAAGGCGGCUCACUGGCCCGAUACUGACGCUGAGGCACGAAAGCGUGGGGAGCAAAC